AGCAGGGUCACCUCUCCAGUCAUAUCAUGUGAUUACCAUAGAGAAGAAUGAGGUCAUGUGACUCCCAGAAUUCACUCCCAGAAUCCCUCACCUCUCCGACAAAAUCAAGAGAGGAUCCUGGAUUGUUGGGACCUGAAUGGAAAGAAGAGGAGACCAUCUAACAACAACCACUGGAGACAUUGAGCACUUCCCACAUUCUGGACAUGAAAACUUCUUCUCCACUGUGUGACUCCGCUGAUGUUUAAUAAGAUCUGAUUUGUCUUUAAAACAUUUCCCACAUGCUGAGCAUGAAAACGGCUUCUCUCCUGUGU